rnacentral:rRNA from 1 species
UGGCCAGACUCCUACGGGAGGCAGCAGUGGGGAAUAUUGCACAAUGGGGGAAACCCUGAUGCAGCAACGCCGCGUGGGUGAAGGAGCGUUUCGGCGCGUAAAGCCCUGUCAGCGGGGAAGAAGAAAGACGGUACCCGACCAAGAAGCCCCGGCUAACUACGUGCCAGCAGCCGCGGUAAUACGUAGGGGGCAAGCGUUAUCCGGAUUUACUGGGUGUAAAGGGAGCGUAGACGGCUGUGCAAGCCAGAUGUGAAAGCCCGGGGCUCAACCCCGGGACUGCAUUUGGAACUGCGUGGCUUGAGUGUCGGAGAGGCAGGCGGAAUUCCUAGUGUAGCGGUGAAAUGCGUAGAUAUUAGGAGGAACACCAGUGGCGAAGGCGGCCUGCUGGACGAUGACUGACGUUGAGGCUCGAAAGCGUGGGGAGCAAACAGGAUUAGAUACCCCUGUA